rnacentral:rRNA from 1 species
GACGAACGCUGGCGGCAAGCUUAACACAUGCAAGUCGAACGCCGUAGCAAUAGGGAGUGGCAGACGGGUGAGUAACACGUGGGAACGUGCCUUUCGGUUCGGAACAACUGAGGGAAACUUCAGCUAAAACCGGAUACGCCCUUCGGGGGAAAGUUUACGCCGAAAGAUCGGCCCGCGUCAGAUUAGGUAGUUGGCGGGGUAAUGGCCCACCAAGGCGAUGAUCGGUCGCGGUUCUUGGAGGAAGAUCAGCCACACUGGGACUGCGACACGGCCCAAACUCCUACGGGAGGCAGCAGUGGGGAAUAUUGGCCAAUGGGCGCAAGCCUGAUCCAGCUAUGCCGCGUGGAUGAAGAAGGCCUUCGGGUUGUAAAGUCCUUUCGGCGGGGAAGAUAAUGACGGUACCCGCAGAAGAAGCCCCGGCUAAUUUCGUGCCAGCCGCCGCGGUAACAC